UAACAAAAAAAAAUUAUCUUAUCGUACACUACUUAAUCGAACUUUAUAUUUUCUUCUUAUUAUUUUUAUCUUUGUUUUUGUUUUGCUUUUAGCCUUGGGAGAUGAGUCUGGAGAGACAGAGCUAAGAGCAUACAUUAACAAGAGCUAUGAUAAGGCGGCGCUACCUAGGCCCAAUGUUACGGUUGAAAUCAUUACUUUCAAAAUAUUGAGUUUUGAAGUGAACGAGGAUGCGCACACAAUGGAAGUACACAGUUGGCUUGGUUACAGCUGGCACGAUCAACGCCUACAAUGGAAACCAGAAGACUACGGGGGAGUUUCCAGCCUGGGGAUGGAUCCUAGCGAAGUGUGGAGACCUGAUAUAUCAAUAUACAAUGGCGUUGCCAGCGCCCACAUGCCCAUCCAAUUUCCCUUU